GGAAAAUCAGCCGUGCUGUCUUUUGGGCUCUCAGUAUUUUGAGGCAGACUCCUCUGUCAGCUCAAGUGUCCAUAGGGGAUGUGGAAUCUCUUGAAAUUAGGAUCCCAGAGGUUUAUGGAGAGAGAGAGCUGACCCACCAUUCCAUCGCACACAAGUUCCCUAGGAGGAGUUCGGGAAUGGAUACUAACCCUGACAUUUGGCAACCCCGUGCAGGGUUCUCAGCUUCCUCCCUCUUCUUCAGCCUCAGUGUCUACAUUGUCUUUGUAAUGAUUCUUGGUUUUCUUUCUCCAAAGACGUGUUUUUAAAAUGUUGCUUUGCUCAAUUUUAGUCUCUUUUCCAUGAGAAUGCUGCUUUCUGGCUGCAUCUAUUUGGCUAUAUUGUCCCCUAUCUCAAAGAAUUGCUUCUUAUAGAUGAGCCAAUAAAGUGGUUUCUUGAGAUGAAAUCUACUCCCGGUGAAGAUGGUGUAAAAUUGUUGAAAUGACAAGAAAGGACUUAGAAUAUUACCUAAACUUAGAUGACAAAUCAGCAGGAGGGUUUGAGAUGAUUGACUCCAACUUCGAAAGAAGUUCUACUGUAAGUCUAGUGCUGUGAAACUGCAUUUAAUGCUACAAAUAUAUAUUUCAUAAAAGGAAGAAUCAGUGGAUCAGAAAACUUCAUUGUUGUCUUAUAUUUUAAGAAAUUGGCACAGCCACGACAACCUUCAGCAACCACCACCCUGAUCAGUUAGCAGCCAGCAAUAUUGAGACAAAACCCUCCACCAGUGAAAAGAUUAAUACUUGCUGAAGGCUUAGAUUAUCAUUAGCAUUUUUAAUCCAUAAGGUGUUUUUAAUAGACUUGCUACAUUGCAAUAUUUGCUUUAACAUUGUGGUCUGGAACCAAACCAUAUCUCCAAGAUAUGUCUGUAGAUACUUAAAUUUAAAAUUACAUAAUUUGUUUUUAGCUAGUGGGAAUAUCAAAAAUAUUCUCCAGUGUCACCUCAUGUCUCUAUUAUUAAAGUCUCUCUAUACACCUGAGAAGAGGGAUGAUCAGCUAUAAUUCAUUUCUUUUCCUCUUACCAUUUACUGGUUACUGCAGCAGCAUUUGGAUUAUUUCCUAUUCUUUCUGUGAUUUUCAAGGUGGUGAUGCAGGGCUUUGGAAUUUUACUGUUCCCCACUCAGCAUCACCCCCCAUUGAUCUCUUUCCAUUUCUUUGCAAGAACAAUAAAAACAACAAUGAUUUCAUGCAUGCUCAUCGUAUGCAAAUUUAAGUGUAUGGCAAACAUUAUCUCUUUUAAUUUUACAAAUAUCAGUGAGGGAGGAUCUUUGUUUAUCAAUGAAACUAGUUUGUAGGUAAAAAACAGAUGAUCAUCAAGGUUACAUAAUAUGUCUCAUGUCACAUAACUAGUAAGAGAAUGCUCUGACCAUCACAGGCAGGUCUCUCGAAUUCUAAAUUACCAUGUUCCCUUUUAUUCCCAGAGCUCUUGUGUGAGUAUCAACUUUGUCAGGGAUUGAGGUUAAACAUUACCUGAAAAGAUACAAGAUUUUUCUCAGCCUUGGGAGGAUAAUCAAUGUCAGUAUCAUAAAUCCUCAAAGAAUGACGUAGUAUAUACACUUAUAUCGUAUAAUUUAUGAAUAACUAAUAGGUAGAUACAGUUUAACAUUUAAAGGGAUAGUAAUAAGAGGGAAAUCAAAAGAAGGGAAUAAUACAGUUUAAUGUUUUUGCAUGACACUUUUCUACUGAACUUCAUAAAAAUUUAUGAUUAGUUAUAGCAUUAGAAAAUGUUGGAUUCUAUCUAAACACUUUAAGUUAUUAAAGACAAGGAGUAAAAUUUCUCUCUAUAUAAUUGGUUAGUAGCCAAUGUUUUAAUUCAUUACUAAUAAAAUUUUAUUCAAUUACUAUAAAUGGUAGCAAUAUUUGACAAAAUAUAUUUUUCAUAAAGAAAUAAGUUCAACUGAAAAUCUCUCCUUAAGACUAUUUUCUAAGAUGCCUUUUCUACUCUAGAGCUAUUUCAGAAAUUUAUUUAAACUUUGUAAAUCCAGGGUAAAAGCUUUUAAAAUAUGUUAGCUGUUGAAAUAGUAUUCUGUAGGAAGGCAGGCAUAUUAUUAUAUUUAAAAUUAUUGUCUGAAGAGAUGUAAAAUAAGAUACAUCUUGAACAGUGAUAGAAAGCUGACAUCCAGAAAAAUAGGUACAUGCAAUCAGAGUUUGUUGUAAUAAAGAAUGACAAAAUUUCUAUACACCAAAGCCAUUCAUUGAACAAAAGUAAAUCAUUUCUGAAUAGAUAUUGAUUAAAGUACAAAGCAUAAAACUGACACGUCAAUAAAGGUCAGAAUGAAACUAUUAUAGGAAAUAGUUGACAUGACAUGGUGAUAUGUUGGACCAAUAAGAAACAUAAUGAAAUAUAAAUGGAAUACAAUGGAGCGGAAAAAUGAAAUGUUGAAAACAUAUGCAGUGAUCAAAAAUAGGAAAGACUGCAAUAAAGAAGAAAAAUUCUGGAAGAGUGUUUUAAAAGGAGGUGCUGGUGGCUUUUAACCAAAUUGAGUACAGAUAAAUCCAUCCGAGGGUAUAUGGGAUUAAUGGAUCUGUCUAUACAGAGCGGAGCAUGAGUGAAUUCAUGGCUGUUGAUCAUGAUAUUCAGGACUGCCAAGUUCCUUUGUGGCUUGUAACAGAGAAUCUGUGCCUGUAUAAUGUAUCAGAGUGGGCAUAGACUGCCAAAGAGAAUGCCUAAGAUAACUCUGUGUAGAAGGAUGAAAUGCAACUUUUUUUGGUCUGUGAUUCUUAAUUGUUAAAUGUGUAUUUGCAGCUAAAGUAAUUACAAAUCGGAAUCCCUGUUUUUGUUAUUGUUUUCUUAAUGUAUGGUCACUAAAACUUAAUAAAGCUAUACUAUCUGUGCAAUACUAUCUUACAUUGAGCAUUUUUCUUUACUCCAAAAUAUUUCCCAUCAAUAAAAACAACAAACAAAAUAUGUAUAAGACCUUUCUUUCACCUCCCUUCUUAAUAGCAAACCAAACUUUUUGGAGUGGUUUAUUCAGGUUUUAUGCUUCUUUCUGCAUGACCCGUGCUUUUCAGAAGACUUAACUUGCCUAAUGUUAGUUUGCUUACUGAGUUUUCAGAAUUUUGGUCUGUGGUUAGUGUCUAAUAAAUGUGCUUUGAAUUC
rnacentral:lncRNA from 1 species